UCUAUUAUAUGUAUAUAUACUAUAUACAGAUCUACUAACUGUCAUCGCAUUGAUGAAAUAUACUGAAUGUUUAUUUGUGCUUUUAAUAGAAAUUAUUUAUAAAUGUGACAGUUCUUUCUGUUUUUUUUAAUAAACAAACUAAGUAGAAUAAAUAGGAUGAGCAAUGACUUUCAUUUAAAAUUAAAUUCUUCAUAAUCAACAGAUUUGUGAGCUUCAUGUUGAGUUCAUCACUGACUGAACUUCACAUCACUGAUGAUAAUUCAGAAACAGAGAUAACAGCACUCUUCACCAGGAUUUCCUCAUUCUCACCACAACAUUGUUAACCACAGCAAAAAUGCUUUGUCAUGGCUAAAUUACUAACUGCCCUGAAAUGGGUUUUUUUAUUCCCUCACCAAUUAUCCGGUCCCUCCUAUUUCCCAAGGAGAUGUGAACUGCAAAUUUCUAGCGUGACUACAGCUUUAUAGCGAUUCACAUGUUGGUGGCAUGUUACUCCUUAAUGAAAUUUCAUAUUACAUACAUGCAGCCCGGGCACAGUGUUUUAAUGCCCCAGCUCUAUUCGUCAUCAUGAUGCGUUAUGCCAGUAAAUUGUCUGUGUGUGUCUGACAAAGACAGCUAUAAUCACUACAUGAAUGAUUACAAAGUGAACUACAUUGCAAUAGCUUGAACAAGUACUCACCCCUGUGGAGAUCAUGUGACACUUUAAUUGCACUCCUUUCACCUAAUUAUGUCCCCUCUGAUGGCAGAUAGAGCUGCACCUGAAUCAAUUUACAAGUUUCAAGGCAACAAGGAUGGUAAAACAACCCAGUGAGGAAAAGUUUAAGGGGGUGAAUACUUUUUCAUGGUAGCUGUUUAUGGCUCAAACGCUGAGAAUGCAUUUCUCUGCUGAUCCGCCUGUGCGUGUCUGUGGGAGAAAGGGCAGAGAUAUGUUGCUGUACAGAUGCUUCAGGAAGCAGAAAGCAAGAGGAGUGUGUGUAUUUAUGCCGCGGAUGCAUUCCUUUGCUGGGAGAGUGCACAAAGUUCACAGACAGGAUGCAUCCUAUCUAUCCAUCCUGCUCUCUCUUUACACUCUAUGUACAUAUGUACAAAAUUAGACCCUCACAUCUGUCCUCAAAUGUUAUAGAAGACAACGUUUAACCGCUGGUCCUGAUGGGUGUCGUCUUUACUAACAAGGCCAUGAUUCCAUCCACAGAGCAUUGGAAAAUGAAUUGUUGUGAUGUGGAUGAAAACAAAAUAAGCCAGCGGUGGUCCAUGGAGCAGGAGGCUGAUAAACUGUCCAUAGCCACAGAUGGGCUAGUCAGUAUUUGUAUACCUUUAAAGUGACUGCCAAUAAAAAAUGUAACUAUGUAAUAAAAAAAUUUGGUAUACCUAA